rnacentral:rRNA from 1 species
ACGGGAGGCAGCAGUGGGGGAUAUUGCACAAUGGGGGAAACCCUGAUGCAGCGACGCCGCGUGGAGGAAGAAGGUUUUCGGAUUGUAAACUCCUGUCGUUAGGGACGAUAAUGACGGUACCUAACAAGAAAGCACCGGCUAACUACGUGCCAGCAGCCGCGGUAAAACGUAGGGUGCAAGCGUUGUCCGGAAUUACUGGGUGUAAAGGGAGCGCAGGCGGACCGGCAAGUUGGAAGUGAAAACUAUGGGCUUAACCCAUAAAUUGCUUUCAAAACUGCUGGCCUUGAGUAGUGCAGAGGUAGGUGGAAUUCCCGGUGUAGCGGUGGAAUGCGUAGAUAUCGGGAGGAACACCAGUGGCGAAGGCGACCUACUGGGCACCAACUGACGCUGAGGCUCGAAAGCAUGGGUAGCAAACAGGAUUAGAUACCCUGGUAGUCCAUGCCGUAAACGAUGAUUAUUAGGUGUUGGAGGAUUGACCCCUUCAGUGCC